rnacentral:rRNA from 1 species
AACGAACGCUGGCGGCAGGCCUAACACAUGCAAGUCGAACGCCCCGCAAGGGGAGUGGCGCACGGGUGAGUAACGCGUGGGAAUAUGCCCUUCGGUUCGGAAUAACACAGGGAAACUUGUGCUAAUACCGGAUACGAUCUACGGAUGAAAGAUUUAUCGCCGAGGGAGUAGCCCGCGUAGGAUUAGCUAGUUGGUGAGGUAAUGGCUCACCAAGGCGACGAUCCUUAGCUGGUCUGAGAGGAUGAGCAGCCACACUGGGACUGAGACACGGCCCAGACUCCUACGGGAGGCAGCAGUGGGGAAUAUUGGACAAUGGGCGAAAGCCUGAUCCAGCCAUGCCGCGUGAGUGAUGAAGGCCUUAGGGUUGUAAAGCUCUUUCGCCAGGGAAGAUAAUGACGGUACCUGGAAAAGAAGCCUCGGCUAACUCCGUGCCAGCAGCCGCCGUAA